CCCAUGUCAUGCCCAGCAUAAUCUACCUACGGUAUUCUAUAUUCUGCCCUACAGGGAAGGAUGAGAAGCUUCGACUAAGGUUCGACUCGAGCGAAGCGAGAGAACGUUGCCGCAGGCAAUGGCCCGAAGGCGAGGCGCUUUAGCGCCGAGUAAUCCUUCCCCCACCACUG
rnacentral:sRNA from 2 species